rnacentral:tRNA from 1 species
GGGGCAUUGGCGCAGCUGGUAGCGCACUUGCAUGGCAUGCAAGGGGUCAUCGGUUCGAGUCCGAUAUGCUCCA